rnacentral:rRNA from 1 species
GAAUAUUUGACAAUGGGGGGAACCCUGAUCCAGCCAUGCCGCGUGUGUGAAGAAGGCCUUUUGGUUGUAAAGCACUUCAAGCGAGGAGGAGGAUCUCUUGGUUAAUACCCCAGCUGCUUGGUCGUUACUCGCAUAAUAAGCCCCGGCUACCUCUGUUCCAGCAGCCGCGGUGAUACAGAGGGUGCAAGCGUUAAUCGGGUUUACUGGGCGUAAAGCGCGCGUAGGUGGCCAAUUAAGUCAAAUGGGAAAUCCCCGAGCUUAACUUGGGAAGUGCAUUCGAUACUGGUUGGCUAGAGUAUGGGAGAGGAUGGUAGAAUUCCAGGUGUAGCGGUGAAAUGCGUAGAGAUCUGGAGGAAUACCGAUGGCGAAGGCAGCCAUCUGGCCUAAUACUGACACUGAGGUGCGAAAGCAUGGGGAGCAAACA